CAGCAGCCGCGGGAACACGGAGGGUGCGAGCGUUAAUCGGAAUUACUGGGCGUAAAGCGUACGCAGGCGGUUUGUUAAGUCAGAUGUGAAAUCCCCGAGCUUAACUCGGGAACUGCAUUUGAAACUGGCAGGCUAGAGUCUCGUAGAGGGGGGUAGAAUUCCAGGUGUAGCGGUGAAAUGCGUAGAGAUCUGGAGGAAUACCGGUGGCGAAGGCGGCCCCCUGGACGAAGACUGACGCUCAGGUACGAAAGCGUGGGGAGCAAACAGGAUUAGAUACCCGCGUAGUCCCUGUCUCUUAUAC
rnacentral:rRNA from 1 species